rnacentral:rRNA from 1 species
AUUGAACGCUGGCGGCAUGCCUUACACAUGCAAGUCGAACGGUAACGCGGGGCAACCUGGCGACGAGUGGCGAACGGGUGAGUAAUAUAUCGGAACGUGCCCAGUAGUGGGGGAUAGCCCGGCGAAAGCCGGAUUAAUACCGCAUGAGACCUGAGGGUGAAAGCGGGGGAUCGCAAGACCUCGCGCUAUUGGAGCGGCCGAUAUCAGAUUAGGUAGUUGGUGGGGUAAAGGCCUACCAAGCCGACGAUCUGUAGCUGGUCUGAGAGGACGACCAGCCACACUGGGACUGAGACACGGCCCAGACUCCUACGGGAGGCAGCAGUGGGGAAUUUUGGACAAUGGGCGCAAGCCUGAUCCAGCCAUGCCGCGUGCGGGAAG